rnacentral:sRNA from 1 species
UCACAUCAUUAUAUGUGAUGCCCUUGG